rnacentral:rRNA from 1 species
GAUGAACGCUGGCGGCGUGCCUAAUACAUGCAAGUCGAGCGAACAGAUGAGAAGCUUGCUUCUCUGAUGUUAGCGGCGGACGGGUGAGUAACACGUGGUUAACCUACCUAUAAGACUGGGAUAGCUCCGGGAAACCGGGGCUAAUGCCGGAUAAUAUUUUGAACCGCAUGGUUCAAUAGUGAAAGACGGUUUCGGCUGUCACUUAUAGAUGGACCCGCGCCGUAUUAGCUAGUUGGUAAGGUAACGGCUUACCAAGGCGACGAUACGUAGCCGACCUGAGAGGGUGAUCGGCCACACUGGAACUGAGACACGGUCCAGACUCCUACGGGAGGCAGCAGUAGGGAAUCUUCCGCAAUGGGCGAAAGCCUGACGGAGCAACGCCGCGUGAGUGAUGAAGGUCUUCGGAUCGUAAAACUCUGUUGUUAGGGAAGAACAAAUUUGUUAGUAACUGAACAAGUCUUGACGGUACCUAACCAGAAAGCCACGGCUAACUACGUGCCAGCCGCCGCAGUAA